CUGCAGUGAUGAUUAUUUAGGACACCUUUGAUUCUCCAUGAAGAGAAACUUAAAAAUCUGAGCUUU
rnacentral:snoRNA from 1 species